CGAAUGCUGACAUAAGUAACGAUAAAGCGGGUGAAAAGCCCGCUCGCCGGAAGACCAAGGGUUCCUGUCCAACGUUAAUCGGGGCAGGGUGAGUCGACCCCUAAGGCGAGGCCGAAAGGCGUAGUCGAUGGGAAACAGGUUAAUAUUCCUGUACUUGGUGUUACUGCGAAGGGGGGACGGAGAAGGCUAUGUUGGCCGGGCGACGGUUGUCCCGGUUUAAGCGUGUAGGCUGGUUUUCCAGGCAAAUCCGGAAAAUCAAGGCUGAGGCGUGAUGACGAGGCACUACGGUGCUGAAGCAACAAAUGCCCUGCUUCCAGGAAAAGCCUCUAAGCAUCAGGUAACAUCAAAUCGUACCCCAAACCGACACAGGUGGUCAGGUAGAGAAUACCAAGGCGCUUGAGAGAACUCGGGUGAAGGAACUAGGCAAAAUGGUGCCGUAACUUCGGGAGAAGGCACGCUGAUAUGUAGGUGAAGUCCCUCGCGGAUGGAGCUGAAAUCAGUCGAAGAUACCAGCUGGCUGCAACUGUUUAUUAAAAACACAGCACUGUGCAAACACGAAAGUGGACGUAUACGGUGUGACGCCUGCCCGGUGCCGGAAGGUUAAUUGAUGGGGUCAGCGCAAGCGAAGCUCUUGAUCGAAGCCCCGGUAAACGGCGGCCGUAACUAUAACGGUCCUAAGGUAGCGAAAUUCCUUGUCGGGUAAGUUCCGACCUGCACGAAUGGCGUAAUGAUGGCCAGGCUGUCUCCACCCGAGACUCAGUGAAAUUGAACUCGCUGUGAAGAUGCAGUGUACCCGCGGCAAGACGGAAAGACCCCGUGAACCUUUACUAUAGCUUGACACUGAACAUUGAGCCUUGAUGUGUAGGAUAGGUGGGAGGCUUUGAAGUGUGGACGCCAGUCUGCAUGGAGCCGACCUUGAAAUACCACCCUUUAAUGUUUGAUGUUCUAACGUGGACCCGUGAUCCGGGUUGCGGACAGUGUCUGGUGGGUAGUUUGACUGGGGCGGUCUCCUCCUAAAGAGUAACGGAGGAGCACGAAGGUUGGCUAAUCCUGGUCGGACAUCAGGAGGUUAGUGCAAUGGCAUAAGCCAGCUUGACUGCGAGCGUGACGGCGCGAGCAGGUGCGAAAGCAGGUCAUAGUGAUCCGGUGGUUCUGAAUGGAAGGGCCAUCGCUCAACGGAUAAAAGGUACUCCGGGGAUAACAGGCUGAUACCGCCCAAGAGUUCAUAUCGACGGCGGUGUUUGGCACCUCGAUGUCGGCUCAUCACAUCCUGGGGCUGAAGUAGGUCCCAAGGGUAUGGCUGUUCGCCAUUUAAAGUGGUACGCGAGCUGGGUUUAGAACGUCGUGAGACAGUUCGGUCCCUAUCUGCCGUGGGCGCUGGAGAACUGAGGGGGGCUGCUCCUAGUACGAGAGGACCGGAGUGGACGCAUCACUGGUGUUCGGGUUGUCAUGCCAAUGGCACUGCCCGGUAGCUAAAUGCGGAAGAGAUAAGUGCUGAAAGCAUCUAAGCACGAAACUUGCCCCGAGAUGAGUUCUCCCUGACCCUUUAAGGGUCCUGAAGGAACGUUGAAGACGACGACGUUGAUAGGCCGGGUGUGUAAGCGCAGCGAUGCGUUGAGCUAACCGGUACUAAUGAACCGUGAGGCUUAACCUUACAACGCCGAA
rnacentral:rRNA from 1 species